rnacentral:lncRNA from 1 species
GGUGCCUCAGGUUCCUGUGGCCGCGGGGACAAAGCUCACAGCCUGGCUGGCUUAGAACACAGGCUUGUGUUCUCGUGCAGGUUCUCUGUGAGGUGAAAUGGUGAGGCUGCCCUAUAUGUGUCCUUAAGGCAGAAUGUGGACUCCAUGCAGGGGUCACCCAGAAGCUGUGACCUGGAGGUGGUCCUGCAGGUGGCUGUGAGGGGCUCUCUGGCUAACAGACUGAGGACAGGUGUCUCUCCAUCAUUUUUUCUCAUAAAGGAGUGAGUCAGCAGGCUUGAAGAAGGUGGCCGGCUUGGCCUGGAGGCUGGACGUUUGAG